GCCUACGGGAGGCAGCAGUAAGGAAUAUUGGUCAAUGGACGCAAGUCUGAACCAGCCAUGCCGCGUGGAGGAUGACUGCCCUCUGGGUUGUAAACUCCUUUUAUCUGGGAAGAAAUGCAGUUUUUCUAAACUGUUUGACGGUACCAGAGGAAUAAGCACCGGCUAACUCCGUGCCAGCAGCCGCGGUAAU
rnacentral:rRNA from 1 species